rnacentral:rRNA from 1 species
AUGUACAACACCAUUGGUGGUUUUUUCAGGCAGAAAGGGGUCCUGCGGAAUCUGUGUGGGCAGAUCAGCAGAGACAAAAGCAGAUCAAUGCCGGGCGAUGGAGGACUUGCGCUGACCGUGCCCAAAGAGCACCUCGGACACGCCGGGAAGAACCGACUACCAAAGACCACGCCGCGACCCAAGCUCCUCUCGACGCCAUCAUCGUUGCCAAACAGAAACCAACGCCCCGCCUCAGCAAACCACGCGGCGAAGAUGCCGCCAUCGACGGUGAAGAUGCCAUCAUCCUCCAGUCUCUUAGUCGUAGCCGGCUCCGAGACGAUGCUCCCAAGGAGGAGAAAGACGCGAAGACGCCUCCAUCGCCCGAUCCAACGGAUCUGA